rnacentral:rRNA from 1 species
UACGGAGGAGGCAAGCGUUAUCCGGAAGUAUUGGGCGUAAAGCGUCCGUAGGUGGCCAUGCAAGUCUGCUGUCAAAGCAUGGAGCUUAACUCCAUAGAGGCAGUGGAAACUGAAUAGCUAGAGUUCGGUAGGGGUAGCGGGAAUUCCCAGUGUAGCGGUGAAAUGCGUAGAGAUUGGGAAGAACAUCGGUGGCGAAAGCGCGCUACUGGGCCGAAACUGACAAUGAGGGACGAAAGAUAGGGGAGCGAAAGGG